CGCGGCCUAUCAGCUUGUUGGUGGGGUAACGGCCCACCAAGGCAUCGACGGGUAGCUGGUCUGAGAGGACGAUCAGCCACACUGGGACUGAGACACGGCCCAGACUCCUACGGGAGGCAGCAGUGGGGAAUAUUGCGCAAUGGGCGAAAGCCUGACGCAGCAACGCCGCGUGGGGGAUGAAGGCCUUCGGGUUGUAAACCCCUUUCAGCAGGGACGAAAAUGACGGUACCUGCAGAAGAAGCCCCGGCCAACUACGUGCCAGCAGCCGCGGUAACACGUAGGGGGCAAGCGUUGUCCGGAUUUAUUGGGCGUAAAGAGCUCGUAGGCGGUUGCGUAAGUCGGAUGUGAAAACUCAGGGCUCAACCCGGAGACGCCAUCCGAUACUGCGCUGACUAGAGUCCGGUAGAGGAGCAUGGAAUUCCUGGUGUAGCGGUGAAAUGCGCAGAUAUCAGGAGGAACACCAGUGGCGAAGGCGGUGCUCUGGGCCGGUACUGACGCUGAGGAGCGAAAGCGUGGGUAGCGAACAGGAUUAGAUACCCUGGUAGUCCACGCCGUAAACGUUGGGCACUAGGUGUGGGGCCUCCUUAACGGGUUCCGUGCCGUAGCUAACGCAUUAAGGGCCCCGCCUGGGGAGUACGG
rnacentral:rRNA from 1 species